GGACACAGCUCAAUUGGUUAGAGCGUGGUGCUGAUAAUGCCAAGGUUGUGGCUUUGAUACCCAUAUGGACCA